UCUCUAUGUGUGCCUCUUCUUUCCAGGU
rnacentral:piRNA from 1 species